UGAACUAUUAAUAUUAUAUCGUGAUAUAGGUUUUACAUCAGAAACCAAAGAAGACACUGAAGGAGAUAACCAAAGAUUUAUGCCCAGUUCUUAGCAUACAACAGUUAUACAGAAUCAGUACUAUGUACUGGGAUGACAAGUAUGGCACGCAGAGUGUUACAUCAGAGAUCAUUUCAAGUAUGAGACUUGUGAUGGCCGAGGGCUCAAAUAAUUCUUCCAAUAAUUCUUUCUUGUUAGAUGAUGAUUCCAGCAUUCCAUUUUUGGUCGAUGAUAUCUCAAAGUCAAUGACAGAAAUAGAUAUAGCAGAUAUCGAUCCACCGCCUUUCCUUUGUCAGAGUUCGGGCUUUGCAUUUUUGGCACAAUGAAAGUAGCA